UGUUGAGGCGUGUCAAGACCAUUAGUCCACAGCCCUUUGUAAUCAAAACUAUACGCCUCGUCUUGAUGAGCACUUGUCAGCGACGAGCGACGCAUGGCAGUGUAGUUUACCAUCUUUCAAGGGUCGUGGAGUCGGUCUGGAUAGUGACGUUAACUUGGCAGGACGACCGGAUUACACAUGGAUUGCCACGAGCAUUCAAGUCGACUUCUCAAUCACCGCCUACCGGACAGCAUUCCAUUCCACUGUCAUCACCUCGCAGAAUUUGCUAGGCCUCUGGAUAUUCUAUUGUGAUUGCUAUGGAACAGCACCAGGCAUUGCUCACAACCAAAAGGUACUGUUGAAGUGUUGCUGGUUAUCUUGAUAUCCAAUCCUCUUCUGCCGCUGAAUCAUUAAAUUCAGGAAGGGAUCCCCUGUUCAAAUAUAGGCAAGUAAUGCAACUUAAAAAAAU